GAAAAACCUUCCAAGGAUACCUAGGCCGGAUGGGUCCUGACAUUCACAGCCAGGAUUGCAAAGCCCAAGGAGGCGUAUCCAUGUGACUGGAGGCUGAAUGCUAAGUGGUUUGCUGCAUGUUUGCAAAGCAAACAAGGUAGCAGUGAGAAGAACAGACCCCGGACACUAAGUUCAUUUCUUAUUACAAGGCAAACACCAUCCACAUCUGGAUGCCUGAAUACAAGCAACAUAACAGCAGCAGUUUGUUCCAAGAAAUCUUUUAGAUGACAACAUACCAUCAUCACCAUCAUUUUAGAAUGAAAACAACAAUAUGAAGAAAAAAAAACCCACCCUCUUCUAACUAGUCAAGAAUGAUGAAGACAAAAAAUGAUCAUACUUACUGGGGGGCAUUGUGCAAGUUUAUCAGCUGCCACCAGUUGAACAUUCAAGUGUUUACUUUGUGACUUUCCUCUAGAUUUAAUCAACCGCUGUAAAACCUGAUAGAAGAAGACAUGAACCUGAGGUAUUGUAGAUGAGUUGAAAGAAAAUCAAAUAAGCCAGGAUCUUUUUAAUGGUCUGCUUGGCCCUGAGUAUUAUCAGAGAGGAAAUGCAGUGUGAGAAAUCAUAUAUUUAAACCUGUAAUGAUGUCAUCUGCUUACAUUGGCUCUCAGUUCCAUGGAUUUGAUAUGUUCAUCCUAUUCUAACUCUGUGUGAAGUCUCAGGAGGAGCCUGAGUUCCCAUCCUAGAUUUUUCCCAGAGAUUUCAAAGAGAGACCUGUAAAAAUGGAGGGAGUGGACUGUACCAGGUCAUUUAUGUUAAGUAAUACUUUAAUAUUAUUCACCUGAAUAAUGUUUUAGCUCACUAUCUCCAUGUCAGAUAAAUGUCAGAGUCAUUUUCUGGUUAUUUU
rnacentral:lncRNA from 1 species